AUGUUCAAGAGAGGUUCUAUCACCAUAUCAAUGUUCUCAAAUUCUAACCUAUUGGUUGGAUUGUGUCGUCCACGCAGGCGGCUCCGGCGGAGGAGAGGAAGCAGCGUCCAGCUAGGAAAUAAGCGGCGAGGUUACUGCCUUGGAUCACGUUCUGUUGUACAAUGGGGUGUCAUGGUUCCUUUUAGGAUGUUGAAGAAGAUCAUUAUGGACAUUGCACCAAAGGGACACUGGGUUGAGGCUUAUUGUUGGUCUAUGCCGCUUCUGCGUCCCCAACUAUUCCCCCUUUGUUAA